rnacentral:rRNA from 1 species
AGUGAACGCUGGCGGUAGGCCUAACACAUGCAAGUCGAACGGCAGCACAGUAAGAGCUUGCUCUUACGGGUGGCGAGUGGCGGACGGGUGAGGAAUACAUCGGAAUCUACUUUUUCGUGGGGGAUAACGUAGGGAAACUUACGCUAAUACCGCAUACGACCUACGGGUGAAAGCAGGGGAUCUUCGGACCUUGCGCGAUUGAAUGAGCCGAUGUCGGAUUAGCUAGUUGGCGGGGUAAAGGCCCACCAAGGCGACGAUCCGUAGCUGGUCUGAGAGGAUGAUCAGCCACACUGGAACUGAGACACGGUCCAGACUCCUACGGGAGGCAGCAGUGGGGAAUAUUGGACAAUGGGCGCAAGCCUGAUCCAGCCAUACCGCGUGGGUGAAGAAGGCCUUCGGGUUGUAAGGCCCUUUUGUUGGGAAAGAAAAGCAGCAGGUUAAUACCCCGCUGUUCUGACGGUGCCCAAAGAAUAAGCACCGGCUAACUUCGUG